rnacentral:ncRNA from 1 species
AUACUGUUGCCACCGGGUAACGGAACGUAAAACGUCCAUAUGCUUAUCGUUAGGUCUUUGAAGAUACAUACAGAUGCUCAUUUUUU